UCUAUGAAGAUGAAUUCUGCAACAAAAUGAGAUAGUGACUAGGCAAUAUUUUUUGACCUUUCUUUUAAAAGCCAAAUGUAUUUUGGUAUUUUCAAAAAGGAAAUAAAAGUAGAUGUGUAUCACUGAUGUUAUCAUACAUUUACAACUGCUUUAUUUGUAAUAUAUUUCAAUUGUAGGAGCAACAUGCAGACAAAUAUCAUUGGAUCAUCAGAGAUUCAUGUUCUGUAGUACCAAGAAGCAUUUGUGAACUCCGAAAGACCAAUCAGGUGCCGAUCCGAUCCGAUCCAAUCACACAAGAGUCUUUAUUCAUAAGUUCAAACUCGGGCUUAAGUCAUGCUGACACACAGGAUGGUUUCGGUGGAUAAAAGCCCCAAACACUCCUCAGGACAAGAUUUUAUAGGAAAUAUCAAGAGAAGGCAGCCAGAAUCUAGCACUUCAGAAACAAAGUACCAGAGAAACAAAUGGGCAGCAAACAUCAACUCUGAAAUACAUUGUCUCUGAUCUAUGCAGCUUGGAUAGUGAAUUUCUUUCCAUAAAUAGUUAAUAAGAUAUCAGCUCUAAUGACAAGAAUAAACUGUUAAACCAAUUCAUUUAGUGUUUUAUAGAUAGGAAACAACACAAAGACCUACAACUGGUCAAGGCAUAGAGGGAACAAGAGGCUAAGGAAUACUCAACACUAACUGGAACAUAUAUAUUCCAUCUCCUCCUAUUAAGGUUGAAAGAUCAUUGCAGAAUAAGGUAUGUAGAAAGAUUUUAAUACCCAAAAUUGUGAAUCACUACAGCAAGUCUUUUUCAAGACACAUAUAUGGUA